CCACCAAAUUCCCACCAUGCCAAAUCUGUGGCAAAAAUAACCAUCAAGCCCUUGAUUGCUAUCACAGGAUGAACUUUACUUACCAAGGUCGACAUCCACCAGCUCAGUUGGCAGCUAUGGCUGCCCACACUCAUGGCACACAAGAAGUUGAACAACCUUGGUAUCUUGACAGUGUUGCCAACAACCACAUUACUUCUGAAUUGGACAACUUGACCCUACAACAACAGCCUUAUCAAGGCAAAGAUCAGGUCACAGUGGGCAAUGGAGGAGGCCUGCUCAUCACCAACAUUGGACCUACAGACCAAGGAAAUACUUCUUCAAGGGCAGAGUGAAGCUGGACUGUAUCCCAUAUAUCUUAAGCAGCUGAAACUCAAGAAAUCUAAUCCUAAAGCUGCUCAUAUUUCCUCUUUCACUGCAUUACAAGGUGUCAAAGCUCCAAUAAACAUUUGGCAUUCAAGAUUAGCUCAUGCCUCUUAGUCCACAGUUGUUGGGUCAUUCGAGAAGCUUUGCUUCCUAUUUCUGGUCCUGUAAAACAGAGUAAUCUGUGUGAGUCUUGUCAAGUUGCUAAGAGUCACAAACUUCCCUUUUCCGAGUCCAAUAACAGAUCCACACAUCCUCUUGAGUUAAUACACUCAGAUGUUUGGAUCUCUCCAGUUGCUUCUAUAAGUGGAUGUAAACUCUAUGUUAUAUUUAUUGAUGAUUUUUCCAGAUUUA